CCUACGGGGGGCAGCAGUAGGGAAUAUUGCUCAAUGGGGGAAACCCUGAAGCAGCAACGCCGCGUGGAGGAUGAAGGUUUUAGGAUUGUAAACUCCUUUUGUUAGAGAAGAUUAUGACGGUAUCUAACGAAUAAGCACCGGCUAACUCCGUGCCAGCAGCCGCGGUAAUACGUAUGGUGCAAGCGUUACUCGGAAUCACUGUGCGUAAAGAGUGCGUAGGCGGGGUAAUAAGUCAGAUUUGACAUCCUGUAUCUUAACUCCAUAUCUUCAUUUGAAACUGUUAAUCUGGUGUUU
rnacentral:rRNA from 1 species